AGAGUUUGAUCCUGGCUCAGGAUGAACGCUAGCUACAGGCUUAACACAUGCAAGUCGAGGGGCAGCAUGGUCUUAGCUUGCUAAGGCUGAUGGCGACCGGCGCACGGGUGAGUAACACGUAUCCAACCUGCCGUCUACUCUUGGCCAGCCUUCUGAAAGGAAGAUUAAUCCAGGAUGGGAUCAUGAGUUCACAUGUCCGCAUGAUUAAAGGUAUUUUCCGGUAGACGAUGGGGAUGCGUUCCAUUAGAUAGUAGGCGGGUAACGGCCACCUAGUCAACGAUGGAUAGGGGUUCUGAGAGGAAGGUCCCCCACAUUGGAACUGAGACACGGUCCAAACUCCUACGGAGCA
rnacentral:rRNA from 1 species